rnacentral:lncRNA from 10 species
GCCCCUGCCCCGCCCCCGCCGCCGCGCCGCCUCCUCCUCCUCCUCCUCCCCGCCGGGGUGAAACUCGAGCGCCCCACCCGCGCCUGACCUCCCCGAGCCCCUCCCCGGGCCCCGCCCCUUCCCGGUACAGGACCCCCACCUUCGCUCCUGGGAGCCCCGCUGCACCCCAGGAGUUCCAUUCCAGCCUCCCCAGUGCGAGUGCGGCCGAGCGCUGACUUUUGGGGGCUCCCUCCCCCGUCUCACUGGGUCCCUCUGCGGCUCCCCCGCCCGCUGUCCCGGUUCAGACGUGGCUGCACCCCGGAGGGGGGCGCCGGCCGAGACCUGAGACGUGGCGCUCCCUCUCUGCCGGCCUCGGCUUCAGUGCUUGAAUUUCAGCCACAUCCCUAAGCUGCCAUCUCAGACCAGAGGAACAGGGAGGGGGGCUUUCUGGAAAGAACAUCACCUGGAAGAAAUCAGGACAUGACUGUGGGCCAUGAGUGACCUUCAAAGGAAAGCCGGGUAUCUGUGGUCUUUAAGAUGUGGUAAGAUUGUAUUAAAAUUAUAGAAAAAAACCUCAAUCCAGAAAUCGUGGCCUCUUGACAUUUACAUCUUAACUGCAUUUUCCUACCAAUGAGAUGCAUUACAAUCAUCCUCCAUAAGUGUUCUCUUUUUACCCCUGUUUCCAUUCUUUUAGAUCCAUGACAUUUAAAAACUGAAGAAAUGGAAAGAUCAUCUGAUCAGGCCCAUCAGUCUUUUUCCUAAUGCUAAACAUUGGUACAAAGACGUGAAGUUUGAUGUCUCACUAAGAUUGCCUAGGGCUGCUUUAUUGCUCACCUACUUCAAAGUAUUGGGAAAACAUGAUUAUGGGUACAGGUGAUGCUGUGUUGCCCCCAGACAGGUUUCUUUUGUCAGGUUCUUUUGAUGGAUUAGGAACCUACAAGUGGGGAGAUUUUAGGGAAAUAGCCCCUCCACUUGGAUUUCACCAAAACGUCUUUAGGGUUCUCUUACCCCAAGAAACACGCAUUCCUCUUUAGUGUGGCAGCCCACUCUAUUGGCAAAGUUAAGCAGACCAGUUUUACUAAAAAGGAGCCACCCAGAAACUUAGACAGAAAAUACUUGAGGCACAGAUGAGAAUGAGCACAAAUGUGCAUAGCAAGUGCAGUUUCCUGGCCCUUAAACUGAAGGGCCAGGUCAGUCUGCUCCUCCAGGCACAGCCUGGGACCCCAUCAUGUGCCCCACUCUGCAGUCUGAGCUUCCACUCAAGUCCACCAGGGCCUGCCUCACAUAUAUAUACAAGACCCAAUGUCAGAGUCUGCCUCUGCCCAUGUCUGGUCAGAGGGUUGCACUUUGCCACUGCUACAUGUUCCCAGAGGUUGGCACAGCAUGACCUGGACCUCACCUAACCCAGGCAAACUCUGCUCAUCUUCGAGCUCUCUGGAACCCAUUUCUCAAGGGAGAACCACAUUCCCCCACCUCACAGCCAAGUUCAAGGAAGCAGCCUGGCUAAAGCAAUGACUCAAGGAUACCAGAAGCAGAGCACGCAUUUAAGAAGAUGCGCUGACUCGCAGGAGCAGCUGACUCUUCUUAAGAAGAGUUUACUGAUUCUUCUUUCAGUACGGGCCUUUUAAUAAGAUAUUGUAUUUUACUUCAGCUAUGGGUGCAGACAAUUAAAGGAUUCUAGAAAUCUGAAAGU